GCAUGCUCAAUUUCCGUUGCGGUAGGAUGGUUGGUACAGAUAUGUCAACCAUGACACUCUGAUGUUGAGCUCCUUUUAAAACAAUGGGCAACGUGAAUCAAAUAAGCAACAGCCCUAACAGCUGAUGACCAGGUUGAGAAACGUUCAAAACGAUGUGACUUGAGUUUUGGUUCUGGACUCAUAGAGGUAUGCAGUGUGGUGUUCCUAGACCUGAUUUCUUUAUCAUCAUCAGGAUGUACCAGUUCGUAGGUAACGUCGGUGGAAAUUUAGAAGGAGUUUUCAUGAAGAAAUCUUGGAGGCGACAGCCACAAGCAGCCAUGGAGAGCUGCUGGGGAUAUAGCUG